rnacentral:tRNA from 1 species
GCCCGAAUGGGGUAGCUUGGAUAUCCUUAUAGCUUGCGGAGCUAUGGACUCGGGUUCGAAUCCCGGUUCGGGCA